GAUGAACGCUGGCGGCGUGCCUAAUACAUGCAAGUCGAGCGAAUGGAUUAAGAGCUUGCUCUUAUGAAGUUAGCGGCGGACGGGUGAGUAACACGUGGGUAACCUGCCCAUAAGACUGGGAUAACUCCGGGAAACCGGGGCUAAUACCGGAUAACAUUUUGAACCGCAUGGUUCGAAAUUGAAAGGCGGCUUCGGCUGUCACUUAUGGAUGGACCCGCGUCGCAUUAGCUAGUUGGUGAGGUAACGGCUCACCAAGGCAACGAUGCGUAGCCGAGCUGAGAGGGUGAGCGGCCACGCUGGGACUGAGACACGGCCCAGACUCCUACGGGAGGCAGCAGUAGGGAAUCUUCCGCAAUGGACGUAAGUCUGACGGAGCAACGCCGCGUGAGUGAUGAAGGCUUUCGGGUCGUAAAACUCCGUUGUUAGGGAAGAACAAGUGCUAGUUGAAUAAGCUGGCACCUUGACGGUACCUAACCAGAAAGCCACGGCUAACUACGUGCCAGCAGCCGCAGUAA
rnacentral:rRNA from 1 species